GACGAACGCUGGCGGCGUGCUUAACACAUGCAAGUCGAACGGAAAGGCCCUGCUUUUGUGGGGUGCUCGAGUGGCGAACGGGUGAGUAACACGUGAGUAACCUGCCCUUGACUUUGGGAUAACUUCAGGAAACUGGGGCUAAUACCGGAUAGGAGCUCCUGCUGCAUGGUGGGGGUUGGAAAGUUUCGGCGGUUGGGGAUGGACUCGCGGCCUAUCAGCUUGUUGGUGUGGUAGUGGCUUACCAAGGCUUUGACGGGUAGCCGGCCUGAGAGGGUGACCGGCCACAUUGGGACUGAGAUACGGCCCAGAAGCCUACGGGAGGCAGCAGUGGGGAAUAUUGCACAAUGGGCGGAAGCCUGAUGCAACAACGCCGCGUGCGGGAUGACGGCCUUCGGGUUGUAAACCGCUUUCGCCUGUGACGAAGCGUGAGUGACGGUAAUGGGUAAAGAAGCACCGGCUAACUACGUG
rnacentral:rRNA from 1 species